GACGAACGCUGGCGGCGUGCUUAACACAUGCAAGUCGAACGGAAAGGCCCUGCUUUUGUGGGGUGCUCGAGUGGCGAACGGGUGAGUAACACGUGAGUAACCUGCCCUUGACUUUGGGAUAACUUCAGGAAACUGGGCUAAUACCGGAUAGGAGCUCCUGCUGCAUGGUGGGGGUUGGAAAGUUUCGGCGGUUGGGGAUGGACUCGCGGCUUAUCAGCUUGUUGGUGGGGUAGUGGCUUACCAAGGCUUUGACGGGUAGCCGGCCUGAGAGGGUGACCGGCCACAUUGGGACUGAGAUACGGCCCAGACUCCUACGGGAGGCAGCAGUGGGGAAUAUUGCACAAUGGGCGGAAGCCUGAUGCAGCAACGCCGCGUGCGGGAUGACGGCCUUCGGGUUGUAAACCGCUUUCGCCUGUGACGAAGCGUGAGUGACGGUAAUGGGUAAAGAAGCACCGGCUAACUACGUGCCAGCAGCCGCGGUGAUACGUAGGGUGCGAGCGUUGUCCGGAUUUAUUGGGCGUAAAGGGCUCGUAGGUGGUUGAUCGCGUCGGAAGUGUAAUCUUGGGGCUUAACCCUGAGCGUGCUUUCGAUACGGGUUGACUUGAGGAAGGUAGGGGAGAAUGGAAUUCCUGGUGGAGCGGUGGAAUGCGCAGAUAUCAGGAGGAACACCAGUGGCGAAGGCGGUUCUCUGGGCCUUUCCUGACGCUGAGGAGCGAAAGCGUGGGGAGCGAACAGGCUUAGAUACCCUGGUAGUCCACGCUGUAAACGGUGGGUACUAGGUGUGGGGUCCAUUCCACGGGUUCCGUGCCGUAGCUAACGCUUUAAGUACCCCGCCUGGGGAGUACGGCCGCAAGGCUAAAACUCAAAGGAAUUGACGGGGCCCCGCACAAGCGGCGGAGCAUGCGGAUUAAUUCGAUGCAACGCGUAGAACCUUACCUGGGUUUGACAUGGAUCGGGAGUGCUCAGAGAUGGGUGUGCCUCUUUUGGGGUCGGUUCACAGGUGGUGCAUGCCUGUCGUCAGCUCGUGUCGUGAGAUGUUGGGUUAAGUCCCGCAACGAGCGCAACCCUUGUUCACUGUUGCCAGCACGUUAUGGUGGGGACUCAGUGGAGACCGCCGGGGUCAACUCGGAGGAAGGUGGGGAUGACGUCAAGUCCUCAUGCCCCUUAUGUCCAGGGCUUCACGCAUGCUACAAUGGCUGGUACAGAGAGUGGCGAGCCUGUGAGGGUGAGCGAAUCUCGGAAAGCCGGUCUCAGUUCGGAUUGGGGUCAGCAACUCGACCUCAUGAAGUCGGAGUCGCUAGUAAUCGCAGAUCAGCAACGCUGCGGUGAAUACGUUCCCGGGGCU
rnacentral:rRNA from 1 species